ensembl:lncRNA
GAUGGACAAGAGCGAACCGCUAGUCUGAGCUCCUUAUCUUUAACUUUACAGUGGUAUUAUCUAUGUCUAGCCUAUAGGACGAGACUUAAACGAAUAUCAGUUGUCGGGCAGAUAAUUAGGACAUCAGUGACUGAGUUCUUGUACAGUUUAAUGAGUUUAAAGAAUGUGAGUAGCCUACCUCGUGACGCCUAGCCUGGGCACCAUUUUAGCUCGUAGUGCUCGAGCCAGAUGCAGUCACCAUGGUCCUCGGUGCACGGGACGUAUCCGACUUUGCUGAGUUGCUGAGACAGAGGAGGAUCUCUUUGCCGCUCGUUAAGACAAAGACAGAUGGAGAGAACGCAGUGACGCUAGCUCAAACAGGUCGACACGAGAAACGGGGAUCCACGCACGCUUCCACACACCUGACUCCCCACUCUCUUCCCUUCCAACGCCUCAAGAAUGGCGCUUAGAGCUCAUCGGCACGUGAUGGUGACCUUGUCCCUGCCGACGACCCUACAAUGACCUCUAGCGACCUGGCUCGGGAUGAUGAGGUGCUGGCUAUGGAGCCCCUGCUAAAGCCACGGCCAAAGCUCCUGAGCCAACGUUUUCAGACAGAUCACUCAAAAGAAACACCUCACAGAGCACCAGAGCUUCAGACUCUCCGAUACCUGACCGUCAUGUUCAUCGAGCUCACACAGCUGGACAACAUCUCACACCUGGUGAGGAGGAGGAGGAGG